rnacentral:misc_RNA from 1 species
AUCGGUUAGUAGUGGCACACAACCUCAUUGGCCAAUUCCUUUAGGUUCUGGCAAGCGAAGGGAGUUAGCUGCUCGGGCGCCUCUCAUCGUUGCAAUUCUUCAGGCCAUUUGUAACCUAAAUGAGGCUUCGUUCGAGAAGAAUUUGGCUGGCUUCUUCCCUUUAUUGUCUAGCUUGAUAAGUUGUGAACAUGGAUCAAAUGAGGUCCAAAUGGCUCUCAG